CCUACGGGAGGCAGCAGUAGGGAAUCUUCCACAAUGGGCGAAAGCCUGAUGGAGCAACGCCGCGUGGGUGAAGAAGGUCUUCGGAUCGUAAAACCCUGUUGUUAGAGAAGAAAGUGCGUGAGAGUAACUGUUCACGUUUCGACGGUAUCUAACAAGAAAGCCACGGCUAACUACGUGCCAGCAGCCGCGGUAAUACGUAGGUGGCAAGCGUUAUCCGGAUUUAUUGGGCGUACAGGGAACGAAGGCGGUCUUUUAAUCCUGAUGUGAAAGCCUUCGGCUUAACCGGAGUAGUGCAUGGGAAACUGGGAGACGUGAGUGCAGAAGAGGAGAGUGGAACUACAUGUGUAGCGGUGAAAUGCGUAGAUAUAUGGAAGAACAACAGUGGCGAAAGCGGCUCUCUGGUCUGUAACUGACGCUGAGGUUCGAAAGCGUGGGUAGCAAACAGGAUUAGAUACACCUGUAGUC
rnacentral:rRNA from 1 species